GAUGAAGAACGCAGCGAAAUGCGAUACGUAGUGUGAAUUGCAGAAUUCAGUGAAUCAUCGAAUCUUUGAACGCACAUUGCACCUCUCGGUAUUCCGGGAGGUAUGCCUGUUCGAGCGUCAUUUGUACCCUCAAGCUCUGCUUGGUGUUGGGUGUUUGUUCCGCCUCUGUGUGUGAACUCGCCUCAAAACAAUUGGCAGCCGGCGUACUUGUUUCGGAGCGCAGCACAUUUUGCGAUCCAGAUCAACGUACAGCGGCAUCCAAGAAGCCUUAUUUAACGCUCUUGACCUCGGAUCAGGCAGGGAUACCCGCUGAACUUAAGCAUAUCAAUAAGCGGAGGA
rnacentral:misc_RNA from 1 species